rnacentral:rRNA from 1 species
CACGUAGGGGGCGAGCGUUGUCCGGAAUUAUUGGGCGCAAAGAGCUCGUAGGCGGCUUGUCACGUCGGGUGUGAAAGACCGGGGCUUAACUCCGGUUCUGCAUUCGAUACGGGCUAGCUAGAGUGUGGUAGGGGAGAUCGGAAUUCCUGGUGGUAGCGGUGAAAUGCGCAGAUAUCAGGAGGAACACCGGUGGCGAAGGCGGAUCUCUGGGCCAUUACUGACGCUGAGGAGCGAAAGCGUGGGGAGCGAACAGG